AUUCACAUAUGUGUGAAUGGAAUUCACAUAUGUGUGAAUAGAAUUCACAUAUGUGUGAAUGGAAUUCACAUAUGUGUGAAU
rnacentral:miRNA from 1 species